rnacentral:rRNA from 1 species
AUAAAUACUGAUACAGGGCUCUUUUGGGUCUUGUAAUUGGAAUGAGUACAAUUUAAAUCCCUUAACGAGGAACAAUUGGAGGGCAAGUCUGGUGCCAGCAGCCGCGGUAAUUCCAGCUCCAAUAGCGUAUAUUAAAGUUGUUGCAGUUAAAAAGCUCGUAGUUGAACCUUGGGCCUGGCUGGCCGGUCCGCCUCACCGCGUGCACUGGUCCGGCCGGGCCUUUCCCUCUGGGGAACCGCAUGCCCUUCACUGGGUGUGUCGGGGAACCAGGACUUUUACUUUGAACAAAUUAGAUCGCUUAAAGAAGGCCUAUGCUCGAAUACAUUAGCAUGGAAUAAUAGAAUAGGACGUGUGGUUCUAUUUUGUUGGUUUCUAGGACCGCCGUAAUGAUUAAUAGGGACAGUCGGGGGCAUCAGUAUUCAAUUGUCAGAGGUGAAAUUCUUGGAUUUAUUGAAGACUAACUACUGCGAAAGCAUUUGCCAAGGAUGUUUUCAUUAAUCAGGAACGAAAGUUAGGGGAUCGAAGACGAUCAGAUACCGUCGUAGUCUUAACCAUAAACUAUGCCGACUAGGGAUCGGACGAUGUUAUAUUUUGACUCGUUCGGCACCUUACACGAAAGUAAAGUUUCUGGGUUCUGGGGGGAGUAUGGUCGCAAGGCUGAAACUUAAAGAAAUUGACGGAAGGGCACCACCAGGGGUGGAGCCUGCGGCUUAAUUUGACUCAACACGGGGAAACUCACCAGGUCCAGACACAAGUAGGAUUGACAGAUUGAGAGCUCUUUCUUGAUUUUGUGGGUGGUGGUGCAUGGCCGUUCUUAGUUGGUGGAGUGAUUUGUCUGCUUAAUUGCGAUAACGAACGAGACCUUAACCUGCUAAAUAGCCCGUAUUGCUUUGGCAGUACGCUGGCU